rnacentral:rRNA from 1 species
UAUCAUGCAGUCGUACGCUUCUUUUUCCACCGGAGCUUGCUCCACCGGAAAAAGAAKAGCCGCGAACGGGUGAGUAACACGUGGGUAACCUGCCCAUCAGAAGGGGAUAACACUUGGAAACAGGUGCUAAUACCGUAUAACAAUCGAAACCGCAUGGUUUUGAUUUGAAAGGCGCUUUCGGGUGUCGCUGAUGGAUGGACCCGCGGUGCAUUAGCUAGUUGGUGAGGUAACGGCUCACCAAGGCYACGAUGCAUAGCCGACCUGAGAGGGUGAUCGGCCACAUUGGGACUGAGACACGGCCCAAACUCCUACGGGAGGCAGCAGUAGGGAAUCUUCGGCAAUGGACGAAAGUCUGACCGAGCAACGCCGCGUGAGUGAAGAAGGUUUUCGGAUCGUAAAACUCUGUUGUUAGAGAAGAACAAGGAUGAGAGUAACUGUUCAUCCCUUGACGGUAUCUAACCAGAAAGCCACGGCUAACUACGUGCCAGCAGCCGCGGUAAUACGUAGGUGGCAAGCGUUGUCCGGAUUUAUUGGGCGUAAAGCGAGCGCAGGCGGUUUCUUAAGUCUGAUGUGAAAGCCCCCGGCUCAACCGGGGAGGGUCAUUGGAAACUGGGAGACUUGAGUGCAGAAGAGGAGAGUGGAAUUUCCAUGUGUAGCGGUGAAAUGCGUAGAUAUAUGGAGGAACACCAGUGGCGAAGCGGC